GGUCCCGUGGUGUAGUGGUUAACAUGCCUGCCUGUCACGCAGGAGAUCGCCGGUUCGACCCUGGUCGGGACCGCCA
rnacentral:tRNA from 1 species